AGGAUGGCAACACUCCAUUGGACAUUGCGGCGAAGCAGAAAACACUGCAUGCUGUGAAGUAUCUAGUCCCCUACAUACUAGAUAAGACAACAAAGCAUCAGUGUCUGUCACUAUUUGUACAAGCUUGCAACGAGUCUGCUGACAAUUUCCCACCAGCAACACAGGACGGCAUCUUCGAUUGCUUAGUUGGUGUGCACAUUAGUCAAGAAGACAUGGAUGCUUGUACUGAGGUACUCGGGAGACUAUCCAAACAACAUGUAUUGUCGCUCACCCAGAAAGCCAUAACCACUCGGAACCAACUACCUCCACCGCUUCUGGUGAGUUCAGGGCCAAUGUUGUGAGUAGUGACAGAACUCCCACACACUCUGUAACCCCCAUAGUGUCUGGACGUCAUCGAGGUGCAUUUCCUUUCUAGAUCCAUGUGUGGUGGAGUAGUAAAUUGUCCUCCCCCUGGCCCCUGCCACGCAGCAACACACCAUUCAGUUAGCUUCAAUAGUAGUAUUC